CCUACGGGAGGCAGCAGUGAGGAAUAUUGGUCAAUGGAUGAGAGUCUGAACCAGCCAAGUAGCGUGAAGGAUGACUGCCCUAUGGGUUGUAAACUUCUUUUAUAUGGGAAUAAAAUGUUCCACGUGUGGGAUUUUGUAUGUACCAUAUGAAUACGGAUCGGCUAACUCCGUGCCAGCAGCCGCGGUACUACGGAGGAUCCGAGCGUUAUCCGGAUUUAUUGGGUUUAAAGGGAGCGUAGGUGGAUUGUUAAGUCAGUUGUGAAAGUUUGCGGCUCAACCGUAAAAUUGCAGUUGAAACUGGCAGUCUUGAGUACAGUAGAGGUGGGCGGAAUUCGUGGUGUAGCGGUGAAAUGCUUAGAUAUCACGAAGAACUCCGAUUGCGAAGGCAGUUCACUGGACUGCAACUGACACUGAGGCUCGAAAGUGUGGGUAUCAAACAGGAUUAGAUACCCUAGUAGUC
rnacentral:rRNA from 1 species